rnacentral:rRNA from 1 species
UACGGGGGGAGCAAGCGUUGUUCGGAUUUACUGGGCGUAAAGGGCGCGUAGGCGGUCGUGACAAGUCACUUGUGAAAUCUCCGGGCUUAACUCGGAACGGUCAAGUGAUACUGUCGGACUAGAGUACAGAAGGGGCAACUGGAAUUCUCGGUGUAGCGGUGAAAUGCGUAGAUAUCGAGAGGAACACCUGCGGCGAAGGCGGGUUGCUGGGCUGACACUGACGCUGAGGCGCGAAAGCCAGGGGAGCAAACGGG